rnacentral:rRNA from 1 species
GACGAACGCUGGCGGCGUGCUUAACACAUGCAAGUCGAACGGAAAGGCCCUUCGGGGUACUCGAGUGGCGAACGGGUGAGUAACACGUGGGUGAUCUGCCCUGCACUUUGGGAUAAGCCUGGGAAACUGGGUCUAAUACCGAAUAGGACCACGCGCUUCAUGGUGUGUGGUGGAAAGCUUUUGCGGUGUGGGAUGGGCCCGCGGCCUAUCAGCUUGUUGGUGGGGUAAUGGCCUACCAAGGCGACGACGGGUAGCCGGCCUGAGAGGGUGACCGGCCACACUGGGACUGAGAUACGGCCCAGACUCCUACGGGAGGCAGCAGUGGGGAAUAUUGCUCAAUGGGCGCAAGCCUGAUGCAGCGACGCCGCGUGAGGGAUGACGGCCUUCGGGUUGUAAACCUCUUUCAAUAGGGACGAAGCGCAAGUGACGGUACCUAUAGAAGAAGCACCGGCCAACUACGUG